rnacentral:misc_RNA from 1 species
CCUGCAGUGUUCGUAGAUUUCUAAAAUCAUAAAUGGAGGGGUGGAAGUCUUUCAUUCGACCAAUUAAGGUCAGGUGACGAGCACUUCUACGCAAUAGAUCCAGCCUUGGCGUAUUUCCCUCAUCAACAUCCAUAAUGAAGCAUUCAUUCUUUGUCAGGAACUGGGCAAAAUCAUGUGCAAUGUCAUGCAUCUUGCAAUUGAUUUUGC